AACGCACCUUGCGCUCCUUGGUAUUCCGAGGAGCAUGCCUGUUUGAGUGUCAUUAAUAUAUCAACCUCUUCAGCUUUUGGUUGUUGAGUGUUUGGAUGUGGGGGGUUGUUUGCUGGUCUCUAGGAGGUCAGCUCCCCUAAAAUGCAUUAGCGAAACAAUUUGUUGAUCGUUCAUUGGUGUGAUAACUAUCUACGCUAUUGACGUGAGGCAGUUUAGCUUCUAACAGUCCAUUGUCUUGGACAAUUUUUUUCAUUAAUGUGACCUCAAAUCAGGUAGGACUACCCGCUGAACUUAA
rnacentral:misc_RNA from 1 species